GNGGCCUCGGAUCGAGCGAGAUUACCCGCUGAACUUAAGCAUAUCACUAAGCGGAGGAAAAGAAACCNACCGGGAUUCCCUCAGUAGCGACGAGCGAAGCGGNAAGAGCCCAUCGCCGAGAAUCCCCCGCUCGGACCUCGGCCGUUCGGGAAUUGUGGCKUAAGGGUCCGACUCGUCAGGCGUCUGACCGUCCGAACAAGUCCCGCGGGACAGGUGUGCUCCCAGAGUGGGUGUGAGGCCUUUAGUUCGGUCUGGGUCUUCUGCCCGGCGCAGUCGGUACCUGCGAGUCGAGUUGCUUGGGAUCGCNGCUCAAAGCGGGU
rnacentral:rRNA from 1 species